UGGGGAAUAUUGGACAAUGGGGGCAACCCUGAUCCAGCCAUGCCGCGUGAGUGAUGAAGGCCUUCGGGUUGUAAAGCUCUUUUGGCGGGGACGAUGAUGACGGUACCCGCAGAAUAAGCCCCGGCUAACUUCGUGCCAGCAGCCGCGGUAAGACGAAGGGGGCUAGCGUUGUUCGGAAUUACUGGGCGUAAAGCGAGUGUAGGCGGUUGCCGUAGUCAGGUGUGAAAGCCUUGAGCUCAACUCAAGAAAUGCACUUGAUACUGGGUGACUAGAGGACCGGAGAGGAUAGUGGAAUUCCCAGUGUAGUGGUGAAAUACGUAGAGAUUGGGAAGAACACCAGUGGCGAAGGCGGCUAUCUGGACGGUUACUGACGCUAAGACUCGAAAGCGUGGGGAGCAAACAGGAUUAGAUACCCUGGUAGUCCACGCCGUAAACGAUGGGUGCUAGACGUUGGCGAGCUUGCUCGUCAGUGUCGCAGCUAACGCGUUAAGCACCCCGCCUGGGG
rnacentral:rRNA from 1 species